rnacentral:rRNA from 1 species
CCUACGGGGGGCUGCAGCGGGGAAUAUUGGACAAUGGGGGGAACCCUGAUCCAGCCAUGCCGCGUGUGUGAAGAAGGCCCUCGGGUUGUAAAGCACUUUCAGUGAGGAAGAACGCCUGGUGGUUAAUACCCAUCAGGAAAGACAUCACUCACAGAAGAAGCACCGGCUAACUCCGUGCCAGCAGCCGCGGUAAUACGGAGGGUGCGAGCGUUAAUCGGAAUUACUGGGCGUAAAGCGCGCGUAGGUGGCUUGAUAAGCCGGUUGUGAAAGCCCCGGGCUCAACCUGGGAACGGCAUCCGGAACUGUCAAGCUAGAGUGCAGGAGAGGAAGGUAGAAUUCCCGGUGUAGCGGUGAAAUGCGUAGAGAUCGGGAGGAAUACCAGUGGCGAAGGCGGCCUUCUGGACUGACACUGACACUGAGGUGCGAAAGCGUGGGUAGCAAACAGGAUUAGAUACCCGGGUAGUC